ACACACACACAAUCACUCGUACACACACACAAUCACUCGUACAAACACGUACACAAUCACUCGUACACAAACAAUCACACACAGAAAUAAUCACACAAAAACGGCACAAACAAUCGCAUUGCCAUCAACAUUAUGCCCAAACUACACACAACACACCGAACAAUUCCACUACUCUCACAAACACAUCCGCUUUAAUUGACAACACACACCGAUAUCAACAAACAUGUUUAUAUUGGUAUUUACAGCCUGGCUGGCGAGCGGUGCACAGGGUCGCGGCCGGGCUCGGGGCCUCUCGAACCCGCACCGCCCGAGGCAAGACCCACCUGAAGAAUUUCCUACCAGUCACCUGCCACCUCUAUCCAGGGACUGCUCUUCCUGUAACGAAACUUGUACAGCCCUGCCCACUUUCCACUUCGAGGUUAUUCUUGGCGCGGAGGCUGUCUGCAUCAUUUUGCUUCCAAAUCCCUCCCUGUGUGCAAGGAAUGCCCGACUACCAUCCACUGGCAGUCCGGACAGUGUUGUGUGAAAGUUCCGAACCCAAGCUCUAGGGAUGCUGCCACUUAGGCCUACGGAGGCAGCAUCCCUCCAUCGCUCCAUUCCUCCUCGUUUCCCGCGAAAACGGCGCAUAAAUUCAAGAGUUUGGAAGCACCGCAAUUGUGCGAAAAGCAGCGGCUCCUGCCAACACCGGGGAUUCUUCUGCCGAUUCAGCGAAAGCGAUUGACUUCCCACUGCAGAAACAAGGCCUCGCGAUCAACGCAGACAUGUCACCGACACAGCACCGGACUCCUCGCUCCCUGACGAUCAGAAACGUGGGUUCCCGCGCGCUGGACGCCCUCGCAGCACCGACGCCCCGCGGAGUGUGAGCGCUGGCGAGACACUGCCUUCGAAGGCGCUGCAGGGACGAUGCCCGACGCUGAAGGCAAUUUCCUUCUUGGCCUCGAAAGAACCGCAGGCGUCCGUCGGGGGCCAUGUGUCAGUGUCAGGCUGCACCCUUAUGUCGGCUCCAACUUUCUCUCAAAACAUUAAUGAAAAUAUCAGAACACAGGUUGGUGGCUCCAUAAUGGAGCUAACUUCUAUUGCCACUCAUCUCACUUAUUUACCAUUUUCCUUGAUUUCUGGGAUUCUUUUUUAUUAUCAUUCCCACUAGUACUGCUAAUGAUAUUAUGAUAAGCAUGUCAGUAAUGAUAAUAACAUCAAUAUCAAGCACAUUUGAUUUUUAAAAAUCACGAAAACUCAAGGAAGGGGAAAAUCAGGUGAGGUUACGUAAGCCCACUAAUUGGCUCCUUGGCGCCAUCUAUGAGCAACAAAAGAAAACUACAGUCGCAGUGCACUACCCGGCCGCAGCAAAGGGCCAAGGCAUCGCUGACACUUGCGAGGGUCAGGCGGCGCCGGACGAAGACUAAACGCUCGAAACCGGACGUCUUGCAGCUCAGACUCUUCUUAGAAAGCCCACGUUUCAGGACACCAUUCCGAGAACCUCCCUCUCUCUCUCUCUCUGCCUAUCAGUUUAACUAAUUACAUAUUUAGAAACUACGUGUAAAUCAAUUCAAACAUAAUCACGUUUUACAUAUAGAUGAAUAAAUGGAUGAAUAUAUAAAUGUG